CCCUUAGAUGUUCUGGGCCGCACGCGCGCUACACUGAUGCAUUCAACGAGCCUAUCCUUGACCGACAGGUCCGGGUAAUCUUUGAAUCUGCAUCGUGACGGGGAUAGAUUAUUGCAAUUAUUAAUCUUCAACGAUGAAUGCCUAGUAGGCGCAAGUCAUCAGCUUGCGUCGAUUACGUCCCUGCCCUUUGUACACACCGCCCGUCGCUCCUACCGAUUGGGUGUGCUGGUGAAAUGUUCGGAUCGGCCGUUUGUCGCGGUUUCCGCGUCAUGUGGCUGAGAAGUUCAUUAAACCCUCCCACCUAGAGGAAGGAGAAGUCGUAACA
rnacentral:rRNA from 1 species